UUUCUCUAACAUUCUGUUAAGAUAUGUCCUGAUCUCCUAAAGCCACAGAAUCCCAGAGACUCAAAGUAAAUUUUCUCUUCGGCAAAUCAGAAGGCUCUGCAUAAAUACUGCCAAUUGUUAAACAUUUACCUGCACAUACUGGGCUCAUCUUCAUUAUUGGUAAAAUGAGCUAGAUGCUAUUUUCCAUUAGCUCACACUCCAAUUCCAAUCGACCUGACCAUCAGAAGAGACAAAAAGGGAAAAUCCUGGCCAGUUCUCCCCUACCUGAUCAACCAGUAGCAUAAUCAGAUUUGCAAGACCUCAAGAAAAGAAACCUGAAAAUGCCACUGGAGGUGUGUGUUUUGCCAAAGAAAAAAGAAUCAAAAACAAAACCUGCAGGAUGAGGACAAACAAACAAAGAGCAGGGACAGAGUCUCACUAUGUUGACACCCUGGACAACACUCUUGAAGUACUCUUUUCCCAGGGAGGACACAGUCAUGGCAUGCAAGGGGCUCAGCCAUGAACCUUGUGAUGGAUGAGGAAAAGAUAUUCUUUUUCUCCCCUUACAGUUUCUGGCAGCCAACAUGGGGUGGCUGUGACACCCCACUAGUUCCAGAACCUGCAGAUGAGAUCCUGGGACAACCAA
ensembl:lncRNA novel transcript, antisense to CPVL